rnacentral:rRNA from 1 species
CAUAGGUUAAUGAGGCGAACCGGGGGAACUGAAACAUCUAAGUACCCCGAGGAAAAGAAAUCAACCGAGAUUCCCCCAGUAGCGGCGAGCGAACGGGGAGGAGCCCAGAGCCUGAAUCAGUGUGUGUGUUAGUGGAAGCGUCUGGAAAGGCGCGCGAUACAGGGUGACAGCCCCGUACACAAAAAUGCACAUAUUGUGAGCUCGAUGAGUAGGGCGGGACACGUGGUAUCCUGUCUGAAUAUGGGGGGACCAUCCUCCAAGGCUAAAUACUCCUGACUGACCGAUAGUGAACCAGUACCGUGAGGGAAAGGCGAAAAGAACCCCGGCGAGGGGAGUGAAAAAGAACCUGAAACCGUGUACGUACAAGCAGUGGGAGCCUCUUAAUGGGGUGACUGCGUACCUUUUGUAUAAUGGGUCAGCGACUUAUAUUCUGUAGCAAGGUUAACCGAAUAGGGGAGCCGAAGGGAAACCGAGUCUUAACUGGGCGUUAAGUUGCAGGGUAUAGACCCGAAACCCGGUGAUCUAGCCAUGGGCAGGUUGAAGGUUGGGUAACACUAACUGGAGGACCGAACCGACUAAUGUUGAAAAAUUAGCGGAUGACUUGUGGCUGGGGGUGAAAGGCCAAUCAAACCGGGAGAUAGCUGGUUCUCCCCGAAAGCUAUUUAGGUAGCGCCUCGUGAAUUCAUCUCCGGGGGUAGAGCACUGUUUCGGCAAGGGGGUCAUCCCGACUUACCAACCCGAUGCAAACUGCGAAUACCGGAGAAUGUUAUCACGGGAGACACACGGCGGGUGCUAACGUCCGUCGUGAAGAGGGAAACAACCCAGACCGCCAGCUAAGGUCCCAAAGUCAUGGUUAAGUGGGAAACGAUGUGGGAAGGCCCAGACAGCCAGGAUGUUGGCUUAGAAGCAGCCAUCAUUUAAAGAAAGCGUAAUAGCUCACUGGUCGAGUCGGCCUGCGCGGAAGAUGUAACGGGGCUAAACCAUGCACCGAAGCUGCGGCAGCGACACUAUGUGUUGUUGGGUAGGGGAGCGUUCUGUAAGCCUGUGAAGGUGGCCUGUGAGGGUUGCUGGAGGUAUCAGAAGUGCGAAUGCUGACAUAAGUAACGAUAAAGCGGGUGAAAAGCCCGCUCGCCGGAAGACCAAGGGUUCCUGUCCAACGUUAAUCGGGGCAGGGUGAGUCGACCCCUAAGGCGAGGCCGAAAGGCGUAGUCGAUGGGAAACAGGUUAAUAUUCCUGUACUUGGUGUUACUGCGAAGGGGGGACGGAGAAGGCUAUGUUGGCCGGGCGACGGUUGUCCCGGUUUAAGCGUGUAGGCUGGUUUUCCAGGCAAAUCCGGAAAAUCAAGGCUGAGGCGUGAUGACGAGGCACUACGGUGCUGAAGCGACAAAUGCCCUGCUUCCAGGAAAAGCCUCUAAGCAUCAGGUAACAUCAAAUCGUACCCCAAACCGACACAGGUGGUCAGGUAGAGAAUACCAAGGCGCUUGAGAGAACUCGGGUGAAGGAACUAGGCAAAAUGGUGCCGUAACUUCGGGAGAAGGCACGCUGAUAUGUAGGUGAAGCGACUUGCUCGUGGAGCUGAAAUCAGUCGAAGAUACCAGCUGGCUGCAACUGUUUAUUAAAAACACAGCACUGUGCAAACACGAAAGUGGACGUAUACGGUGUGACGCCUGCCCGGUGCCGGAAGGUUAAUUGAUGGGGUUAGCGGUAACGCGAAGCUCUUGAUCGAAGCCCCGGUAAACGGCGGCCGUAACUAUAACGGUCCUAAGGUAGCGAAAUUCCUUGUCGGGUAAGUUCCGACCUGCACGAAUGGCGUAAUGAUGGCCAGGCUGUCUCCACCCGAGACUCAGUGAAAUUGAACUCGCUGUGAAGAUGCAGUGUACCCGCGGCAAGACGGAAAGACCCCGUGAACCUUUACUAUAGCUUGACACUGAACAUUGAGCCUUGAUGUGUAGGAUAGGUGGGAGGCUUUGAAGUGUGGACGCCAGUCUGCAUGGAGCCGACCUUGAAAUACCACCCUUUAAUGUUUGAUGUUCUAACGUGGGCCCCUUACCGGGGUUGCGGACAGUGUCUGGUGGGUAGUUUGACUGGGGCGGUCUCCUCCUAAAGAGUAACGGAGGAGCACGAAGGUUGGCUAAUCCUGGUCGGACAUCAGGAGGUUAGUGCAAUGGCAUAAGCCAGCUUGACUGCGAGCGUGACGGCGCGAGCAGGUGCGAAAGCAGGUCAUAGUGAUCCGGUGGUUCUGAAUGGAAGGGCCAUCGCUCAACGGAUAAAAGGUACUCCGGGGAUAACAGGCUGAUACCGCCCAAGAGUUCAUAUCGACGGCGGUGUUUGGCACCUCGAUGUCGGCUCAUCACAUCCUGGGGCUGAAGUAGGUCCCAAGGGUAUGGCUGUUCGCCAUUUAAAGUGGUACGCGAGCUGGGUUUAGAACGUCGUGAGACAGUUCGGUCCCUAUCUGCCGUGGGCGCUGGAGAACUGAGGGGGGCUGCUCCUAGUACGAGAGGACCGGAGUGGACGCAUCACUGGUGUUCGGG